rnacentral:rRNA from 1 species
AGAGUUUGAUUCUGGCUCAGAACGAACGCUGGCAGCGUGGAUUAGGCAUGCAAGUCGAACGGGAAGCCGUUGAUCAAUCCUCGGAGAGUGAUUCGGUGGAGAGUGGCGAAAGGGUGAGUAACGCGUGUAUAAGCUGCCCUUAAGUUGGGGACAACACUGGGAAACUGGUGCUAAUACCGAAUGUGGUCUUCUAACGCAUGUUAGGAUGACUAAAGGUGGGGAUCCUUCGGGACCUGCCGCUUGAGGAGGCAUACGCGUGCCAUUAGCUUGUUGGUGAGGUAACGGCCCACCAAGGCUCAUGGCUAGCUGGUCUGAGAGGAUGAUCAGCCACACUGGGACUGAGACACUGCCCAGACUCCUACGGGAGGCUGCAGUCGAGGAUCAUUCGCGAUGCGCGAAAGCGUGACGAUGCGACGCUGCGUGGAGGAUGACGGCCUUCGGGUUGUAAACUCCUGUCAUUCGGGAAAAAUGGCCCUAUAUCGAUAAAGUAUGGGGUGUGAUGUACCGGAAGAGGAAGCCACGGCUAACUCUGUGCCAGCAGCCGCGGUAAUACAGAGGUGGCGAGCGUUGUUCGGAUUUACUGGGCGUAAAGCGUGUGUAGGCGGUUUCGUAUGUCGGAUGUGAAAGCCCAUGGCUCAACUAUGGAAUUGCAUCCGAAACUGCGGGACUAGAGUACAGUAGGGGAGAGCGGAAUUCUAGGUGUAGCGGUGAAAUGAGUUGAUAUCUAGAAGAACACCGGUGGCGAAGGCGGCUCUCUGGAAUGUUACUGACGCUGAGACACGAAAGUCGGGGGAGCAAACAGGAUUAGAUACCCUGGUAGUCCCGACCGUAAACGGUGUGCACUUGGUGUGGGGGGUAUUGACCCCCCCCGUGCCGGAGCUAACGCGUUAAGUGCACCGCCUGGGGAGUACGGCCGCAAGGCUAAAACUCAAAGAAAUUGACGGGGGCCCGCACAAGCGGAGGAGCAUGUGGCUUAAUUCGAUGCAACGCGAAGAACCUUACCUGGACUUGACAUGGUACUGCACGCCCGCUGAAAGGCGGGAAGCCUUCGAGGGUAUAUCACAGGUGCUGCAUGGCUGUCGUCAGUUCGUGCCGUGAGGUGUUGGGUUAAGUCCCGCAACGAACGCAACCCUUGUGGUUAGUUGCCACCGCAGGUGAUGAGCCUGCGAGCACUCUAGCCAGACUGCCCGUACAAGCGGGAGGAAGGUGGGGAUGACGUCAAGUCAGUACGGCCCUUACGUCCAGGGCUGCACACGUGCUACAAUGGUCGGUACAGUGGGAAGCAAUACCGCGAGGUGGAGCAAAUCCCCAAAACCGGCCCCAGUUCGGAUUGGAGUCUGCAACUCGACUCCAUGAAGUCGGAUUCGCUAGUAACGGCGUAUCAGCUACGACGCCGUGAAUACGUUCCCGGGCCUUGUACACACCGCCCGUCACAUCAUGAAAGCCGUCUGCACCCGAAGUCGCUGAGCUAACCCGCAAGGGAGGCAGGUGCCGAAGGUGUGGGUGGUGAUUGGGAUGAAGUCGGAACAAGGUA